rnacentral:rRNA from 5 species
GACCUGCGGAGGGAUCAUUAC